UUGUCAUGGUUUUGGGGUGUUAAUAAAAUCGGCCAAAUUCCAAUUAUCAACAUAGGCCACGUCGUUGGUUGGACACCACCUAGACAACCAGCGGUGGAAUGACGACAUGCGACUAUACAUAUGGUCACUGGUCAGAUUGGGCAGGGGACCAGAGAAAACUACGGAGUCCGACAUAGUUUUAGCAAACUUACUCACCGAUUCAACAUUAAGUUUAGUGACCUCCGAUUGACGUAACUGUUGGUCAUUACUGCCGACGUGUAUAACAAUUGUACCAUACGUAGCCUUAGCCUUAGCAUUAGCAUUAGCAUUAGCAUUAGCAUUAGCAUUAGCCAGCAGUUUCAGGUAAGAUUUGGUGUCGCCCGCUCUGGCCCCUGGAACGCAUCUAACUAUGGUCGCUGGUUUCUCUAACUUCAGGUUCCGCAAAAUCGAGUCGGCAAUUACCAGAGUUGGCUUCUCAGCGGGUUUGUCGCCGAGUGGGGAAAAUCCGUUAGAAAUGUGAAGCGGUUGGUGGUGCUCCGUGGGCCGGGUAAGAGGCCAGGAGAGAACAAUCAGUCCAAGUCCUUCUAUGCACAGUAACAGCCGGUGUUACAAUGGAAGGGGUUUCCUCUAAUGCACAGUAGCAAGAGUUAAAAUGUUUGUCAUUUUCAAAUCAUUAAUGCUUUCACAACUAAUACAGGAGCUUAAAGACCGACUGUUGCACUGGAGUCUCUCACUAUGUGAGGUAAUUUAUGUGUACAGUACGUUUAGAGUUGAACAUCAAGUAGCAGUGAACACACACGGGCAACGUACAGUAAACAUAAAGACAUUUACAAAAUUAGUUUUAUGCUCAAACAUGAACAUACUGUGAAUAACAACUAAAAAAGCUCCACCCUGACGCAGUAAAAAGUUUUUGGUAAAAGGAAAGAAAAAGUCUCACAUUUGAUGGUGGGAGUAGGAGUAGGAGUCUGUCUCCUACAGCUCUUCAUCUGAUGACUUCUCCGUGGCUCUUUCUUCUUUUAGUAUUCCUUCAGAUGAUCUGACGUGUGUGUUGUUUGGUGUGUUUCCAGUCUGUCAGGUUGUCUGAUCACAGAGGAAGGAUGUUCUUCUCUGGCCUCAGCUCUGAGCUCCAACCCCUCCCAUCUGAGAGAGCUGGACCUGAGCUACAACCAUCCAGGAGACAAGGGAGUGGAGCUGCUGUCUGCUGGACUGGAGGAUCCACGCUGGAGACUGGACACUCUCAGGGUGGAGCCUUGUGGAGUCCAAUGGUUGAAACCAGGUCUGAGGAAGUAUUUCUGCCAACUCACAGUCGACACAAACUCAGUAAACAGGAACCUCAAACUGUCUGACGACAACAGGAAGGUGACAUAUGUGAUGGAGGAGCAGCCAUAUCCUGAUCAUCCAGACAGAUUUGAGUCGUGUUCUCAGCUGCUGUGUAGAGAUGUUCUGACUGGUCGAUGUUACUGGGAGGUCGAGUGGAGACAAGAUGUUUUUAUAUCAGUGAGUUACAGAGGAAUCAAAAGGAGAGGAGACAGAGAUGACUGUGUUUUUGGAUUUAAUGAUCAGUCCUGGAGUCUGAGAUGCUCUGAUCGUCAUGGUUACUAUGUCUGGCACAAUAACAUAAAAACAUCCAUCUCCUCGUCCUCUGUCUCUAAUAGAGUCUCUGUGUAUGUGGACUGUCCUGCUGGAACUCUGUCCUUCUACAGAGUCUCCUCUAACAAACUGAUCCACCUCCACACCUUCAACACCACAUUCACUCAACCUCUCUCUCCUGGAUUUACAGUCUGGUAUCCUCCUCCUGGUUCUUCAGUGUCUCUGUAGUUUAAAGAGUUUCCUCCUGGUAGAGAAACUCUCUUUCUGCUGAACAGAGAGUUCAGUCUGUACAGGAUCACUCACUCUGUAUCUCAGAGCCAGAUUAAUGUGUGUGUCCAUGGUAACGGAGAUAGGUCACCAUGGUAACAGAGAUGGUUUGGUUGGUUGAGGUUCUUCUCCAUAGUCGGUGUGUUACCUACAGUAGAUGGUGGUUGGAGAAGCAGACAGGAGGACCAGCAUGAAGACGAGCAAUGAACUGAUGUGGACGUUCUCAUCAGAAAAACUUCUUUUAACCUUUAACAAGGUGCAGAGUGUGAUUCUCUGGGUGGACAGCAGGAGGCAGCAGAGCCUCAUGUUUCUCUGCAGAGCAUCUGUUGGUCUGUUCCUCCAACAAGAUCAUCAUGUUCACUGGUGGAAGAAUCGAAAGUUCAACAUUUAGUCCCACUGAGAGCUUCAAUAAAGUGAUUUUAUUUCUCCUGUC